rnacentral:rRNA from 1 species
UACGAAGGGGGCUAGCGUUGCUCGGAAUUACUGGGCGUAAAGCGCGCGCAGGCGGCUAUCCAAGUCAGUGGUGAAAGCCCGGAGCUCAACUCCGGAACUGCCAUUGAAACUGUUUAGCUUGAGGACGAGAGAGGUGAGUGGAAUUCCCAGUGUAGAGGUGAAAUUCGUAGAUAUUGGGAAGAACACCGGUGGCGAAGGCGGCUCACUGGCUCGUUUCUGACGCUCAGGCGCGACAGCGUGGGGAUCAAACAGG